rnacentral:lncRNA from 1 species
AUCAUUUUUUAUAUUCAAUAAUCUUAGAUGUCAAAGCUAUCUCUUAUGAGAGAGCUAAUAGGAUGAAGUCUCAGGUUUGGUAUUAAGGAGAAAAUACAAUCUUUAAAAUUUGCUGUUCAAGCACUUUGUACUAGUGUGUAUAGCUAACUGGCUUAUAAUUAUUUCUUUACGAGUCUUGAUUUCUGCAUUGGAGAAGAUCCUUAAAAGUAUUUCCAGUGGCCAGCAUAGCUCCUGAGAAUUACAUUCUUUGCAGAAAGAAAGGGGAGAGAACGUGAAAGGAGAAGUGGAGAGAAGCUGGAGAAGAAGAAAUAGCUGGAAGCUUGGGAAUUGGGGGAUUUACCUAAGGCUGACCAGUUUCCUGGUGUGUUACCUGCUUCUGCUACUGAUCCAAACUGCAGAACUUAUUCAUCCCCAUGGCCUCCAGACAGUAUCCAAUGGGGAAUCCGAUCUAAAAGGAACCAGACCUACGUUUUCCAGCCCUUCAUUCUGUAACAACUACUAUCGAGGAAAGGAUAGAAAACGUUCAGGACAUCAUCAUAUAGACUCCUCAUCUACAAAGUUCAGUAACGGUGACGCCUACACAGAAGACUUGGAACUGCAAACAGGCUGGGGUCACCUCAGUGACAUCUCUUGAUGCACAAACAGAAGUUUGAUUUUUGUUUCGGGGGUGCAGAAGGAAGCAGACUGUAGUAAAACACUAAAGUAAUUUUAUGUCUAUACUUUCUCACUUGUUUUUUUUUUGUUUGUGGUUAUUUUGGCGGGAGAGGGAGGGUUUGGGGAUAGAAUUUCACUUCAUGUCUGGAGUGAAGGGGAGAGGGGGAAGCUCAGCCCUUCACCCAAGAAUAACCCAGUAAUGACAUCUUUAUGCGUGGGAAGUGUUUCCCUCCACACUGGGAGGAUCUAAGGCUGCACCCCAGUGGGACUCCCUGCUUGAGUUGGAAGGCCGUCCAGAGGGCGAUGGCAAGUCUUAGCGGAGCGCC